GGUGAGUCGGCCUGCGGACUCUUCCGGCCCGAACUUCUCUUACCUACCCCGCGCUCCCCGGUGCAGCCGGGCUGUGGAAGGCUUGCAGGGGAGGAAGCUAAAAAGUUUGCACAGGGCAACUCCCGCCCUUGCUCCCUCGGGACUCUCCGUGGAGCUCCCACGGACUGAAAGAGCGUGCCCCCCAACCCGAACGAGCCCCGC
rnacentral:lncRNA from 1 species